GCCAGGGAAUGUUUGCUCCCACAUGAGACGUCCUCGUUCCCUCACACGUCCUCCCACCGUGUACGUCAAUACCAGCCUUGUACAGUGUUACAGGUUUAUUGUGGUGUUCCCACGGCCGUAGCAAGUGGUUUAGGUGUGACACUUUCACCAUAUCCAGAGAUCUGAAACGUUCUUUUCAUCGGAAAAUUUAAGCAUUUUACCUGUUAUUUUAAGGAGCAUGCUAUGAAGAAUUCUGAAGAAAAUCUUCAAAGGCUGACUCUGCUUCUAGCUCAUCUUGGAUAUCAACACGAGUCUAUUCAACGAUCUGUAUAUGCCCUUGAAAAUGUAAAGGAACAGGUGAGAGACAUGCA
rnacentral:misc_RNA from 1 species